rnacentral:rRNA from 1 species
UACGUAGGUGGCAAGCGUUGUCCGGAUUUACUGGGCGUAAAGAGCGCGCAGGCGGUCGAUUUAGUCGCGUGUGAAAGCCCCCGGCUCAACUGGGGAGGGUCACGCGAUACUGAUCGACUCGAAGGCAGGAGAGGGUAGUGGAAUUCCCGGUGUAGUGGUGAAAUGCGUAGAUAUCGGGAGGAACACCAGUGGCGAAGGCGACUACCUGGCCUGUUCUUGACGCUGAGGCGCGAAAGCUAAGGGAGCAAACGGG